rnacentral:rRNA from 1 species
GAAAUGCGAUAAGUAAUGUGAAUUGCAGAAUUCAGUGAAUCAUCGAAUCUUUGAACGCACCUUGCACCUUUUGGUAUUCCGAAAGGUACACCCGUUUGAGUGUCAUUGUAAUCUCACUCCUUCAACUUUGUUGUUGCUGGAUGUGGACUUGGACUCUGUCGUGUUACAACGACUGGUCUGAAAUGCCUGAGUGCACCCUGCUGUUGCAGCGUCUUCAGUGUGAUAAGCACCUUCACUGAUUCAAGUUCCUUCGGGACACGUAGCAUUGUGGGCUCUGUGCUGACAAACCGUCCUCGGACAAUCUUUGACAAUUUGACCUCAAAUCGGGUGGACUACCCGCUGAACUUAAGCAUAUCAAUAAGCGGAGGAAAAGAACUAACAAGGAUUCCCCUAGUAAC